rnacentral:lncRNA from 1 species
UGAGGACUAGUUUAUUAGUUAAAUAUGCAAACUCUGCAACAACAAUAAAAGAUCUUUUUUCAUUUAAUAACUCCAGCUAACUGAACAUCUAAAAUCUAGAAAGAGUGUCACUGGGAAGACAAUGGGGGUAGCAGAUGUUGUACCUGAUACAUCCAUGCCAUGUUUUCCCAAUAUUUUUUCUACACUAUUUGCUGAUAUGCGUAAACUCCAUUAUGCCCAUCUCCUCUAUUAUCUAUCAUUUUGCACAAUAUCUGUGAGCCUGUCUCUAUUAAUAAAGGGUGCAAGUUUAAGACUUUUUCUAAGAGAGCUAGUAAUUCAGUGGUAUACUAUCAUCGUUUUUUUAUGUUAAAUUCCUUUGUGUAAGAUUCUGCGAGAAUGCGAGUCGCUUCGUACACUAGUUACCCAAUUUCGGUGAAAUUCUCCCAUUGUGUGUGGAUUAUAAAUUAAUGGGGCAUCUGCAUUAUUGUUUGUUCUUUGUAAAAACUUCAUACACUGUUAGACGCUAUCUCAAGAAAAGUAUGUCCAUUUAUUUCUUCCAUUAGUAGUACAAAAACUUCAUACACUGUUAGAUGCUAUCUCAACGCUACCAAUUUUGUAUCUAUCUUAAAAUGUUGUACAAAUAUAUUUUCAUCAAGAUAGAGUUGAGAGAGAAACAUAGUGUUGUUAUUAUACACUUCAAUUAAAAUUAAGUAUAGAUUAAUAAAAAGGAGGUGAUAGAAUUAUGUACUAGAAUAAAAGAUGCAUUAAUGUAAAUUUGGAAUACGAAAUUAUAGAUUCCAAAACCGAAAGACACUUGAAAAUACAAGCGCUCUUUUUUACUCUAACAUGAAAAGAAGAUUCCGC